GGUUGUGGCUCAGCGGUAGAGUGUUUGCCUAGCAUGUUUGAGGUCCUGGGUUUGAUCUUCAGCAUCA
rnacentral:tRNA from 1 species